rnacentral:rRNA from 1 species
CAAUAGCGUAUAUUAAAGUUGUUGCAGUUAAAAAGCUCGUAGUUGGACUUCUGCGGGUGGCGGCCGGUCGUGCUCGAAACGGGCGUGAACUUGGCGUGCUGCCCGCAUCUUUGGGGAGAUUGUGCGUGGCAUUAAGUUGUCGUGCAUGGGAUUCUCAUCAUUUACUGUGAAAAAAUUAGAGUGUUUAAAGCAGGCCUUUGCCUUGAAUACAUUAGCAUGGAAUAAUAAGAUAGGACCGUUGUCUAUUUUGUUGGUUUACAGAUGUCGGUAAUGAUUAACAGGGAUAGUUGGGGGUAUUCGUAUUCAGUUGUCAGAGGUGAAAUUCUUGGAUUUUCGGAAGACGCACGACUGCGAAAGCAUUUACCAAGGAUGUUUUCAUUAA